ensembl:lncRNA LINC01229 long intergenic non-protein coding RNA 1229
AAGGGCAGGAGGUAACCAUUAAAGAGGACCAUCAUGUAGUGUGAGGAGUCAACAUUUCACACUAGAAAGCCCUUGGUUCAAGUUUUGUCUCUGCCACCUACAGAUUUUGUAACCCUGAGUAAAAGUUGUCCAGCCUUUCUAUUUUACAACUGAGGCUUCAAAAGAUAAAAGAGAUCCAUGCUGAAGGGAGAGGAAAAGAAGAAGACCCCAAGGACCACAGGCCUGGGCCUGUGUUAUCCCAAUGCCAUCAUCUCAGGAUACGAUGGGAGCUGCUAGGUGUAGAGAUGGCUCUUCUUUGAAGAAACCCCCAUGAAAUGGUUUCAGGGGAGGUCACUGUGGUUAUAUCCCAGAAGAUUUGCCCUGCAAGUGAAACAGAAGCUUCUCAUGGAGAUGUGGAGGGGGCUGCCCCGCUGUGUCAGAAAGUGGAGACUCUAUGGAACCAACCCCAUUAUACUGAGAUAGGGUUGAGGCUGCUGAUGGGUCUUUACCUAUUGUAGCUUCCAUUUGUAUGGUAGGCAGCCGCUAAGAUGGCCCCAGAUAUCACUGCCUUGUGAUAGUCCUGUCUUUGUGUAAUCCACUCCCCAUGAGUGUGGGCUGGAUCUACUGGCUCUCUUCUGCUAAACAGAUGAUCGAAAAAGUGAUGAAAUGUCACUUCUAAAAUUAGGUUACACAGAGAAUGUGGUUUCUUUUUUGCUCACUCCCUCUUACUCAGGGAAACUAGCUACCUCUUUAUGUACUGCCCUAUGGAGAGGCACACAUGUCAAGAAACUGAGGGAGUGCCUUCCAGUCAACAGCCAGCCAGGAACUAAGGUGCUCAGUACAGCAGCCUCCACAAAGGACUGAACAAUGCCAACAGCUAUUUGACUGUGCUUGGAAGAUCUCCGUUUAGUUAACCCUUCAGAUGAGACCGCAGCCCUGGCCAGCAAACAAAUUGCAGCCUAUGGAAAGACCUUAAGGCAGAAGCACCCAACUGAACCACCCGAGGGCUCUGACUUACAGAAACUGUGAGCAUAUAGUGAAAUGGCCUCUACCUUAUUUUGAAUGGAUUUCUGGGAUAAAGUUCUUCAGUGAUAACAUGUUUGAAGCGGCUAUCUUAUGUGCCCAUGUUACAUGCUCAUGAUAAAGCUGCAUUUCCUGAGGGGACACCAAUGGAUACACCUCUGCCUGGCACGCAGCUUAGAGGCUAAAUGUAUGAAAAGCAACACCAUGCAAAUCAUUUUGAAACUGCUGUGGAACUCUCACGGGACCCUCCAUUCUAGACAUCCAGUCCCACUAGUGAUCUGACCAUGAAACCUACUAAGAGACUUCCAGAAGAAGAUGACCUCUGAAAGGAGAAAACUUUCUUCCAAGCUUCUGUGGAACAAGAAGAUGCCAUCCCUUUGGUGGAGCCCAAAGGGAAACCAGUGAUGCUGCCUGGAGUUAAAGGAGGCCAGGAGCACCAGAAGCUGGAGGAGGCCGGGGUGGAUUCUCGCCUGGAGGCUUCAGUGGGAGCACGAGCUCCCGACACUUCGGUUCCAUCUCUUGUUUAAAGGCACCCAGUUUCUCAUCAUUUGUUACAGCACCAUGGAAAACCCACACACAAGUGAAGCCCCGACCCACCUCCCAAGUGCCCAUCUGAGCACCCCUCGUGGACUCUGAGCAGGGGGUUGCCAUCACCAACUCCAAGUCUUGCAGCCCCUCUUCCCUUCAGUCUGGCUGCCACCUUCUUCAUUGCCCUGGAAAAAAAUAAUGAAGUUUCACCAUUUAAAGGGUUUCAGUGCAGCUUGCUAUGGGAACACUGGAGAGUAACACAAAUGGCCAAUUGUCCUAAUAGCCACCAUGGAUUGGAUGGAUGCUAACAACAGGCUCACAGUUCUCCUUCUGUUGCCUCCUUUUAUCCACAUGAGAAUCAAACAAGAUCUUCUAGGAAUCUAAAAAUGUGUGUGAGAUUUCACCUGUAAAAGCUGAGUUAUUCUGAAUCUGCGUUUUCCUGAAGAUUUUUCUUUGUGUGGUCAGCCUUCUUGGAAAAAUCCAGAAGCCACCAUCAACUUACAACCCUGCAUGAAUAAAUGACUACUGAUUAAAUGAAGCCUUUGAUGAAGUGCAUGCAGUUUGUAGCUUGAUUCAUGGGAAUACUCAUCACAGACUGAAAGUGUAACCCAGGGUCUCUGGGUUUUUGGGAACGCGCUGUGUAAAAGUAUCUACUUGUAACUGUUACUCCCUGAGUUGUUGUUGUUUUAGAAAGUUCCAAGAAGAAGCUUAGCCUUGGAAAAAACAAAAACUGGUUGAAUCCAGAAGUGGAGAUGAAUUUUGGCCAACGCUCCUCACUGCCACACUAAAAACCCUGCUCAGAGAGGAGCUUAUUCACCAUGUUCUAUUCAUGCAAUGUGUGUGGAAACAUGAUCUACGACAGCAUGCGUGCUGCCUUCACCCUACCUCUACAUACAAUGACUCAUUUAACCUGCUGAAUAAAAGCCCUGUUUUCACCU